rnacentral:misc_RNA from 1 species
UUUUUUUUUUUUUUUUUUAAUGAACAGGAGCGAGAGAGAGCUAAGAAUAGUAGAGGGAAAAAAACCUGUAAUCUGGUGUUUCCAUUGGGAUUAAAUUUUCAUCUUUUGGCCUUUUGAUCUGAUUUUGGUUAGGAUGGGCAGAUUUAAAUCAAUUGGGAAGUUUGGUGAUGAGAUUAGCUCAAAUUACAGUUAAAUAACCAAAACAAAAAUUAGUGCAAAGUUCAAUGAAUAUUGGUAUAACUUGCUCAAUCUUUAAUAUAAUUAGAGUUUAUUAUGAUUUAAAAAUUUUCAGCAUCUGCAAGAGAAUUCUUUUUAGAAAUCCAUUUGUUUUCUCUCCAAUAUUUAUUUAUUUAAAAUUAUUAUAUUUUUUGAGAGCAAUCCUAUUAAAAAAAAGAAUAACCAUUACAAGGGUGUUUGACAAUCCAUAUUAAGCACUGAAAAUGAAAAUUUUCAACACAUAAUUUUAUAAGUUUGUUUGGAGACAUUUUUUAGCUCAUAAUUUUUAUGUGCAUUUGGUAACGCUUCUGUUUUCAACAAUUAUUUUUGAGAAACUGCUUAAUUUGUUAAGUAAAAGAAUUCUAUGUAAUGUAUUAUGUUACUGAAAAAACCAACCCCGCGGCUCUUCUUCAUUAUGACCACCAUCAAAACCAACAAUCAUUUCAAUCGUCACCACCAUUGGUACCAUGAUUGUUACCACCAUUGCAUCCACCACUAAAACUCACAUUCUUUAUCACCGCCAUUACAACCAUUGUUCCUACUACCACUACCAUUAUUGCAUAACCAUCACCACAACCAUCACUGCCAUUACCAUCAUCACCCACUUUGCACCUACCACAACAAUGAUUACUCAAGAUCACCACCAUUGCACCCACCAACCACCCAUGACCUGCGCCGCAAACAAAUGCCCCGACCGCCACCACCACCACAUCUAUUGCCUUAAGUACCACCAAAAUUAAUACUUUUACCACCACCUCUAACCAUUCUUAUUAUAAUUACCAUCUAAUUGUUAAAUUCACACUAUUUUCAUUGAAGUUUUAACUUUCAGCACUUGCUGAUUCAAUUACAAAUAUAGCUAAUAAUUUUAUCAAUGUUAAAAUACUAAGCUCUUGAAUUUUCAUCAUUUUCCAGUUUUACCAGAUGCUACCUAAUUUGCUAUAAAGUAUAAACUAUAAAAGUUUACAUGAUAUAGUUUUUUUUUUUUAAUUAAAGUUCAAUUCAUUAAAUCAGUUUGUUAUAAAAUCUUUUGUUUACGGAUUGCAUGCUUGCCAAGUGUGACUUAUUUCUGUCUCCAUCCUCUCUUCAUAUUUAGGUACUUAACUACUUAUUCUCAUUUAUCUUCCUUCUUUCCAGCGGCCACUUCAUUCAAUGUCACUAAUUGAUAAAAUGCUAAUCAAAUAAAAGCCCUAACAAAACAUUAAUCCUUCUUUACAGUUUACACCUUGACCAUUAACCUUAAAAUUCAUCAAUCAUUCAAGCAUACCAUAGAAGUAAUAGUAAGAACUAAGAAGAUUGCUCAACCAACUCCAUAUCACAUAUAAAGCAUAGGUUAAAAGAAAA